CAGGCUGAACACAAGAUAGCACUGGGGACAGUCAGGUAACACGACUGCCCAUCUGUGCUCUCUGCUCCUCUCAAG
rnacentral:miRNA from 1 species